rnacentral:rRNA from 1 species
GAUGAACGCUAGCUACAGGCUUAACACAUGCAAGUCGAGGGGCAGCAUGAAGUUUGCUUGCAAACUUUGAUGGCGACCGGCGCACGGGUGAGUAACGCGUAUCCAACCUUCCCUAUAGUAGAGGAUAGCCCGGCGAAAGUCGGAUUAAUACUCUAUGUUUUCCAAUGCAGACAUCUAAAAUGGAACAAAGGUUUACCGCUAUAGGAUGGGGAUGCGUCUGAUUAGGUAGUCGGCGGGGUAACGGCCCACCGAGCCAUCGAUCAGUAGGGGUUCUGAGAGGAAGGUCCCCCACAUUGGAACUGAGACACGGUCCAAACUCCUACGGGAGGCAGCAGUGAGGAAUAUUGGUCAAUGGGCGAGAGCCUGAACCAGCCAAGUAGCGUGCAGGAUGACGGCCCUAUGGGUUGUAAACUGCUUUUAUGCGGGGAUAAAGUGGGGAACGUGUUCCCUUUUGUAGGUACCGCAUGAAUAAGGACCGGCUAAUUCCGUGCCAGCCGCCGCGGUAAAAC